GCAUAGGCUAUGACGUACCUUGACUCCGCUGUAGCUUAGCUUGGUUCGUUAGCCGCGCUUCCGCGGUGAUGAAUCUUCAUUUUGCGAACUUUGCGCCCAGUAAAGCUCACGUCCAGCUCGGUAUUCCAGGCAAUAAGCGCUUUCCUCCCAUGCCUACGUUCCAGCACCGUCUACGUUGUGACGUCACAACGUCCCGGGUAGUUUCAAAAUGGAGGACGGCAUGGAUUUAAAAACCAGAGAAGAGGACGGAAGCGAAUAUGCAUUUGACAAGUUUAUCAGCUGCUGGGUUGGGAAUUCGUCGGCGUCGCUCCGGGGAUCCUCAGGCCUGCAGGUCCUCCGAUAACAGCAGCAGAAAUUGGUCGUUUCUUUUAAGACAGUCCAUUAAUAUUACACAAAUGAGGUUUUAAAUCAUUCCCCUGUGCAAUCUGUUAUCUGAAGGGCAGAGCGUUUCCUUGUCACAGCGAGUGGAAAAGCAUAAUCAGAAGUUAUAUUUUGGA